CAAGUCGAACGGUGAAGAGGAGCUUGCUCCUUGGAUCAGUGGCGAACGGGUGAGUAACACGUGAGCAAUCUGCCCUUGACUCUGGGAUAACUGCGGGAAACUGUAGCUAAUACCGGAUAUUACCUUGGAAGGCAUCUUCUGGGGUGGAAAGAAUUUUGGUCAAGGAUGAGCUCGCGGCCUAUCAGCUAGUUGGUGAGGUAAUGGCUCACCAAGGCGACGACGGGUAGCCGGCCUGAGAGGGUGACCGGCCACACUGGGACUGAGACACGGCCCAGACUCCUACGGGAGGCAGCAGUGGGGAAUAUUGCACAAUGGGCGCAAGCCUGAUGCAGCAACGCCGCGUGAGGGACGACGGCCUUCGGGUUGUAAACCUCUUUUAGUAGGGAAGAAGCAAAGUGUUUUACAUGGAGUGACGGUACCUGCAGAAAAAGCACCGGCUAACUACGUGCCAGCAGCCGCGGUAAUACGUAGGGUGCAAGCGUUAUCCGGAAUUAUUGGGCGUAAAGAGCUCGUAGGCGGUUUGUCGCGUCUGCUGUGAAAACUGGGGGCUCAACCCCCAGCCUGCAGUGGGUACGGGCAGACUAGAGUGCGGUAGGGGAGAUUGGAAUUCCUGGUGUAGCGGUGGAAUGCGCAGAUAUCAGGAGGAACACCAAUGGCGAAGGCAGAUCUCUGGGCCGUAACUGACGCUGAGGAGCGAAAGCAUGGGGAG
rnacentral:rRNA from 1 species